rnacentral:rRNA from 1 species
UAGUGUUAUCCGGAAUCACUGGGCGUAAAGCGUCUGUAGGUGGUCUAAUAAGUCAACUGUUAAAUCUUGAGGCUCAACCUCAAAACCGCAGUCGAAACUAUUAGACUAGAGUAUAGUAGAGGUAAAGGGAAUUUCCAGUGGAGCGGUGAAAUGCGUAGAGAUUGGAAAGAACACCAAUGGCGAAGGCACUUUACUGGGCUACUGCUGACACUCAGAGACGAAAGCUAGGGUAGCAAAUGGGAUUAGAUACCCCAGUAGUCCUAGCUGUAAACAAUGGAUACUAGGUGUUGAACAGAUCGAACUGUGCAGUACUAAAGCUAACGCGUUAAGUAUCCCGCCUGGGAAGUAUGCACGCAAGUGUGAAACUCAAAGGAAUUGACGGGGGCCCGCACAAGCGGUGGAGCAUGUGGUUUAAUUCGAUGCAACGCGAAGAACCUUACCAGGGUUUGACAUGAUACGAAUUUCUUUGAAAUAAGAAAGUGCUAUUUAUUUAGAACGUAUACACAGGUGGUGCAUGGCUGUCGUCAGCUCGUGUCGUGAGAUGUUGGGUUAAGUCCCGCAACGAGCGCAACCCUUGUUUUUAGUUGCCUUCGGGAACUCUAAAAAGACUGCCGGUUAUAAACCGGAGGAAGGCGGGGAUGACGUCAAGUCAGCAUGCCCCUUACACCCUGGGCUACACACGUGCUACAAUGGGCGAGACAAUGAGCUGCAAACUUGCGAAAGUUAGCUAAUCUAUAAACUCGUUCUUAG